GGCCUACACCACAGCUAUGACAACGCUGGAUCCUUAACCCACUAAGCAAGGCCAGGGAUUGAACCCGCAACCUCAUGGUUCCUAGUUGGAUUCAAUAACCACUGCGCCACAACAGGAACCCCGAAACCCAUCUUUUAACCUGGAGGUGAUACUACCAAGCCUCUGCUGGGCUUGAAGUGUGUUUUGGCGCCCUCUGGUGGCCAUUCUGUCUAAUGACAACUCACAGCCCUGCCUCCAGCUUCCUGAACAGGAAAGAAUGCCCUUGGCUUGUGCUCCAAAUAGUGGAUUUAAUCCCUCCUCUCACUCUAAGAACAAUCAAGCUCAUUCUAGGCGCAUUAAUAUUCUGUCGAAGUCAGCUAUGGCACUCACUCCUCCUAAUCCUUCCCCACUCGUCUAAGUCCUUGAGUCAAACUCAUCCAAAUCUGGUGACAGAAUUUCCAUGAGUCUUGUUCCCCACUCUUCAUUUCUGGGUUUUGGCCAGAGGUUUGUUUUUCCCCUCCAGGGGGAAUUAGAGGAGGGGAGAGGCUCUGAACGAAGGAAAAGAAGAAACUUUUCAGAGAAUCCUUGAGAGACCCGUCUCUGGGAUGAAUGCAGCCUGUGGGCUGAUCAAGGAAGCGUGGCUUUAGUGCAUUCAAUUCAUGAGCCCCCGCCCAGCUGUCCUGAGGGCAAACCCUGCAGAAGCCUGAUUGGGAGCACUGAAAGCAUAGUCCUCAGUCUCCUGCCUUUCGGCUGAGAUGUCAGCCUCUGCAGAAGCUGAGGGCCAUCAGAGAUCUUUCCAAUCAUCUGGAAUUUAGGCUCCACCAGCUGUCUGAAAGUGACCCACAGAUGAUAAGAGCAGGACAAGUCCUUCCUAUCAGGGGCCAGAGGUCUCUCUCAAAGUCUCCUGUGACUCUCCCUCCUCCUCCCUGCCCAUCACCACUACCCCAUGUCGUCCGGCUGAUCCCACUUCAGUUCAGCUCACCACCUGUAAAUACAUCUGGCUUCCUGAAUACACGCAACCUAUUCCUUG